CCAUAUCUUCUUUUAGUUUCUUUGGUAAUUUAAAGGUCUAAAAGGACGGUACAUGUGAGAAGCUGUGAGUCCACAACAAAAAACUAAACUAACUUCCAAAAAAACAUUUCAAGUUUGGAAGCCACAAAGAAGCAACCCAGAUCUCUCGUUGUAGUGCAGGCUCAAGAAAAUGGGUCGAAUGACCAUCAUAGCAACAUGUAGAAGCAGAAAAAAUAUAGGCUUGGUGUGUAACUGAUCAUGAAAGAUAGCUUGAUCAGUUUCUCCAAUGUUGGCUUAUGCUGAGCAAGUACAUCAAUCUGCAGAGAAGAAAAAUGGAGGACUGCUUUAUUCUGUGGUACAUCCACAAUAGUAUAGCAAAUAAAGUAGUUAAAUGUACGCUAAGAUGUAAGACCUUUUAGAUUACUAUUUUAGUGAUCUAAAAAGUAAGGAGUGAUCUAAAAGCUCUUGUAUUAGUUUGAAGAGGGAGUACUUAAUAAGACUGUAAGCCAGCACAUCAAAGUAAUGCCGGCUUCCCAUUGAUUUGAGCAAACCAAUAUGACAGAGGGAAGGUGAAACUUCAGAAGACCAUAUAAAUUGACCGUGAUGUCUUAAUUUAAAACUUUGAAAUGAAGUAGUAAACAUUAAGUCUCAAUGUUAUCACUAAAAAAGCAUAAAAAAAGACAGACCAGCCAGCAGUGCAUCAUAAUUAGCGGUUCAUCAUGGGCAAACCAGGCAGUAGUAGCCUAAUAACUUAGACGAAAAAAAUGCAAGAAGUCAAAGCACAAGGUGGGAAAUAGGACCAAGCAUUGACACCGAGCAUUGACAGAUAACCAAAUAAUGAAGGAAUAUCCCCAAAUGAUGCAAGAGGUGAGAGAGGAGCACCUAGGCCUAGCAGAGGUUUGUGGACUACCUCUUUAUGCCACACCAUAUCCACAUCCCUAGCGCUUAACGUACUCGCUGCUAUUGCCGUCUCUACCUUAUUUCCUCCAUUGCCGGUUCGUGGACUACCUCUUCAGGACACGCCGAAUACAUAUCCUCUCCUUCACCAGCUGGUAGUUUCGCCCUUCAAUUAUGCCACUAACAAAUAAAAAGAGAACACUAUGAUCAAGUUGAUAAGGCUUACGACCGUAUGUGAGGAAAGCAAAUAAUUCAUGCUUGUCAACACCAUAGUGUACAAUUUUAGCAGAAAGCACAUCAUCGUUCUAGAAGAAAAUAGGUGGAAGCAUAAGAAAGCAAUUAAACAAUCUCUCCAGAGGCACUCACAUGGUAAAAUCCAAAACAUCGAAAGCAAUAUAUUAUUUUUGCGAAAUGUACAGGAUUCAAGAAACUGAGUACCAUCAAAAGUAGUCUGCUAUCCAUAUCCAGAACUCUAAUUCUUACAUACUAGCUAAAAGUUUUAUUGGUUGAGACCAUUUUUGGAUCACCCACCAGCAAGUAUGCAUGGUUCAUAUGUGAAGAGAAACUAACAAUUACAACCAAUAACCAAUUAGCCAACACAUGAAAAACUAUCCUAAACCACUAUGACUACUAAUUCACCAAUACCAUAGAUGAUAGCACCGUGCUAUUAUAAGUUUCUUCAUGAUUCACCAUAUAAAAAGAUUAUACCUCUUCUACAUAGCAGCACAAGACGUUUAAGCAAGGAAGGAAAAGAGUAAGUUUAAUUUCUUUUCACCUAUUUCUUAUCAAUGGAGAUGGAAAAUGCUCUAGUCUAUUUUUAAUGUUUUAUCUUGUCCACCUAUUUGUAGAUAGGCCUUUUUGUAACAUGACAACCUGAAAUUUAUUAAGAGACAUGAAACUUUUAUUAUCUGAUCGAAAGAACAAAAGUUAGUAAAUAUUUGCUACAAGUACCUAACAGGAACAAGUGCAGCCUCAGUCUUUUUUAGAAGGCUAGUACAUAUUACAAACCAGGAAACAAUGGUUGAAAUAUGUGCUAUGAUGCAGUUUCGAAACACGGUUUCAUGGUUGGCCAUGAUAAGUGUCAAAUGUUUUCUCCUUUUUAUUCGGGGUCCAUUAGGGUCAUAGCUGAUGGUACCUUAUAAACAGAAUUUUUAGAACAGAUUGCAGCUUGUAUAAGAUAGACAGGUUUAGUAAGUAUCAUAUUUAAUCGAAAAGCAAAAUAAUCGUUUAAGUAUUUACAUGUCUAGAUCCAAGGUUUGAGAAAUCAAUAAAGUGCCCUCCCCAGAAAUCACAGUGAAAGCAAGUAAAUAACCCAAGCUUGGUGUGGCACCACAAUAAAGAGGAUCAUAAAGGAAAAAAAAUAGAGGAUCAUACAGAAUAAUCAGGAAUCUGUACACACAGCUUACUACAGAUUACUCAUGCUUCAGAAUCAAUCAACAUGCUUGAUGCCGCACCACAAUAAGUAGCACAUGGAUAUUCUAACUCACAGGACAACCUAUAUAAUGUCGUCUUGCCUUGCAUUUGCACCUCUCAUUGCAUCGACCACCAAGGUAACAUAAAAAAGCAUGCCAACCAAGAUAAACCAAAUCAUGGACUUGGACAGGAAAAUCAAAGAGAGGGAAAACCUGUGGAUGGGUUAGAUAGCAAGUCACCGGCGAGGGCGCCUAGGUCUGGCCGACAACACCCGGCCCCACACAUAGUUCAGAAGCAGUCUACCACAUAAUCAGAUGGCAUGAAAGUACCAAUAGUGACCAACCAAACCAAAUAAACCACAUGAAUGGUUGUGAAUGAAGGCAGAAUCAUAUGCAUCUCACAACUAACAAAUUUAACUGAUAAUUCAAGAUACUAAAGAUCUGCUCUGCAUUUUCAACAGUGAGAAUAGUAAAGAUCUCGAAUGCAAUAAAAAAACAAGGAAGCAAACAAGUUGCACAUGAUUUAAUUGACGUCGCGUAACUUCUAAAGUUUUCCCCUUAUAUGACAACCUUCUUCCCAGCAAGAGUCAUUACAGUAUUUAGAUAUCUUGUAUAAAAAAGAUCAAGAACUGAAAACUACAUUCGGCAAGACAUCCUCUCUACAAAAGGAAAUUCCCAGAUAAAACAUUAGCCGAUUCAGUGCAUAUCUCCAAGGCUCAUGUAAGGAAAUUGUCAAAAAGGAGUAAACUGAUUGGAAGGAGCUGCAAUACCCAAGGAUCGGUUGGAGACGGCGAGGUCAACAAGGACGCCUAUCCAAGCAUGUUUCUUCUGUCAUAAGCUUUAUUUUACUUCAUCAUGAAGUUAUGAAAAAAGCCAUCUUAGUAUGAGCUUUCGAGCUUUAAACCAACCAUUUUCAU
rnacentral:lncRNA from 1 species